rnacentral:rRNA from 1 species
GACGAACGCUGGCGGCGUGCUUAACACAUGCAAGUCGAACGGAAAGGCCCUGCUUUUGUGGGGUGCUCGAGUGGCGAACGGGUGAGUAACACGUGAGUAGCCUGCCCUUGACUUUGGGAUAACUUCAGGAAACUGGGGCUAAUACCGGAUAGGAGCUCCUGCUGCAUGGUGGGGGUUGGAAAGUUUCGGCGGUUGGGGAUGGACUCGCGGCUUAUCAGCUUGUUGGUGGGGUAGUGGCUUACCAAGGCUUGGACGGGUAGCCGGCCUGGGAGGGUGACCGGCCACAUUGGGACUGAGAUACGCCCCAGACUCCUACGGGAGGCAGCAGUGGGAAAUAUUGCACAAUGGGCGGAAGCCUGAUGCAGCAACGCCGCGUGCGGAAUAACGGCCUUCGGGUUGUAAACCGCUUUCGCCUGUGACGAAGCGGGAGUGACGGUAAUGGGUAAAGAAGCACCGGCUAACUACGUG